CCUUCAACGACAGAGCGCGAGUGCACAAUCGAAUGUAAACACUUGACAACGAGCAUGGCAACGAAAACAAACAAAAAAGAAUGCACUUGUAUGGAUUGCGGCAAUGAGUUAAAUAGUAAUAGUGGUAAAAUAAAGUAAAUAUAUGCCAGUAUAGACAUAUAUUAGAAUGGCCCACUAACAAGCACGCGCAAACCAAGUUUUCACACACUGUUUUAGAAUUUUUCCAUCAACGCCGCGUUGUAAAUAAAAGUAAAUAAAUAAGCAGCCGAAGUGGCUCCCCGAGAGUUUCACACAAUUUCGCCCACGUACGUAUGUGAUUGUGUGCUAAGCAGCGUGGGACUCAAGCAAAUAGUUAGACUAACUUGAUACAAAUGCAGACAUGUAAUCAUCUUCCACUUUGUAUAAACACAACGAAAAUUUUUAUGGGGGUAAAGCUUCUGUCGAAAUCUCGCCUCGCUAUUUCAGAUGAUUAGUCGAUAUCAAAGGAAUAAUUCAUAGAAAAAAGCAUGUAGUGCCAAGUGACAAGUGAUAUCUAACGAUAAGCCGCUCAUAAAAAAAUGUAAACAAGAAUAAUCAAGAAUGUUGGCCGAGCAGAAUAAAUUCCAAAAAAAAAAAUAAAUCUUCUGCAUGAAAAUUUAAAUUAUCUCGUGCAACAAUAAAUAAUGAAAAUCACACAAAAAUGAUAACUUUGACCGUAUGUCUUCUUCCCUGAACGCUUUGCUAAGAUGUGACUUAAAUCCUAAGCUAACACAUUGUUCAAAAGUCUCCGCCUUGCACGGUAGAGGAAUAUUUUCCGCGUGAAAUUUAGGGGGCGUAGACAAGCUCAGUAACUGUCAAUUUUCACUUUGGAUUUUUCUUUCUUUUUCAUUCUAUUCAGCUUAGUAAUUCAUUGACUAUCUAAUUUGUAUUUAUCAAAAUAUUCCGCUGUUGCUUAAUCUCUAUACACAAUUUCGCUGUGAGUCGCUUUAUGGUGGCCGCCAAGAAGGGUGAGCGAAAGCGCUCUCUAAUUAUUACACUGACUGAUCAGAUAGCUAAAUAGUCUCCUGCAAAAUUGAGUCUUCUGCUAACUUCAAUGCCGCUGUAGCGUAGAAAAGUAGACUCGGUAGCUAUUGACCUAAACAUAUCGACUUUUCUUCAACUCUGCAAACUAACGAUUGUCAAGGCGUAAAGGUUGCUACGGAGAUUUACAUAUUUACCGGCCAAGGCGUUUAGUCAUUUGAUUCACCGUGAUCAUCGGCUUUCGUUUUUUUUUUUAGAAACUCGGGUUAGCAGAGAAACAAAUGCCAUAAAGUAGAAAAAAGGCAUAUGCUCGUUCAUAACACUCUACUUAAAUUGUUUGUAAAUUUUGUCAGUUUACGUAAAAAUUUUGGUUGUAUACUUAAUGUUUAG